UUUUAUGGUAUGCAUAUUUUACUAUAAUUUUUUAGAAAAAAGAAGUAGAAAGAAACAGAUAUGUGAUGAAGUAGAAUGUAAUUUUCCACAAACUUUUUUUUUUUUUUUUUUUUUUGAGACAGAGUUUCGCUCUGUUGCCCAGGCUGGAGUACAGUGGUGCGAUUUUGGCUCACUGCAACCUCCACCUUCCAGGCUCAAGUGACGCAUCUGCCUCAGCCUCCUGAGUAGCUGGGAUUACAAGCGCCCGCCACAGCGCCGGGCUAAUUUCUGUAUUUCUACCUGAGGCAGGGUUUCGCCAUUUUGGCCAGGCUGGUCUUGAACUCCUGGCCUCAAGCGAUCCACCCACCCCAGCCUCCCGAAGUGCUGGGAUUACAGGCAUGAGCCAUUGCACCUGGCCUCACAAACUUUUUUUUUUUUUUAGAUAAAAUAUAACACUUCAAAGAAUUUUCAGACAUCCUCCCUCGCCUCCGCUGUUAAGGACACACAGGUGGACGUUGCUGGGAAGCACUGCAAAUAUGGCACUAAGUGGUGGCCUUUCCAGGUGCUUGGAGGAUGUCACUCAAUUGCAUUCCUCUCUGGUACAGGCCUGCUGGAGUGCUGAAUGAAGCCAUCAUGAGGAAUCCCACUGUUCCACCGACUUCUAAGUAAAACGGAGCUGGGUGGCACAGCCUGAGGCGUCAUUGAUUAUUGUGACAAGCAGAUCUGCAGGCUGAGUCGUGGAGCCAAUUCCACACAUUCAUCAGGACAGAGCCUUCCGUGCUAGGGGGACCGCGGCCCAUAACAGGACUUCUGAAGGACAAGACACCCUCCUCCUGGCCUCUCAAGGGACUGCACCCAUCACAACUGGGCUCCCUGCCUGCGGGAUGACCUGAGACUCCAAGGGGGCCUUUGGAAGCCACUAUUCACCAUUGCUUGGGGGCAAAGAACAGAGUCCCCGGAAGUCUUGUAGCAUUUAUGGGGUAUUGCCCUCUGACAAAAUCUACACCUGGGAGAUUUGGCUGUGAUUAGAUCCCCUUCCUGUUGGAGCUAGGAUGGGGAAGGUAGGGAGGCUGGGUUGGAUGCAAGACAUGGAGACAGACAGGGAAAACCACUUGGCUUAAUGCUUUUGCAUCAGGAAAUGCAGAUUCCCUGGUCUUCUUAGGAAGCCUCAUGUUGACCCUCGUAACCAAAACAGAAGUUAAGACCUAGAAAUGAAAAUGAUUGUGUUUCUGUGGAGAUUUUAAAAAAUUAAAUAACGGGUGAAAGCAAAAGAUAAAAUAAAGUCGAUGGCUCUGGGCUAAGUCUUCUCAUCUGACUCUCAAUCCAGUCGGCACGUGUAUGAGAGGACAUUCACUUUUCUCUUCUUUCUAAAUGUGGUUGAAUUGUCAAAUGACACUUUGUUGAAAAUAUUAAAACCUAGAGGUCAUGCCAAACCCAGCUUGAAAGCGAACAGACAUUCUUUCGUCUUAGCACGAGUGCAUAUUUGGAAUUGUAAAUGCAAAUUCUUUGGAGACAGACUCGCCUUCCUGGCCGGCGAGUACAGACAGAACAUUUGAAAGCAGGUCUCGCUUUAAUUUUUGACAAGUGUUAGGAAGAGAUACUCUUCGCAGCUUGAGAGAGAGGGGAAAUGAAAGCCAGCUUGUGGGUUAGAGGAGGUUGGGGGGAGGGC
rnacentral:lncRNA from 10 species